UCCUAUGGAUGAGCAAAGAAAGUGGUUUCUGGAAAUGGAAUUGACUCCUGGUGAAGAUGCUAUGAA
rnacentral:pre_miRNA from 1 species